rnacentral:rRNA from 1 species
ACGGGGGGAGCAAGCGUUGUUCGGAAUCACUGGGCGUAAAGGGCGUGUAGGCGGUCAAGUAAGUGGAAUGUGAAAUGCCCCGGCUCACCCGGGGACCGGCAUCCCAAACUGCUUGGCUUGAGUAUGGGAGAGGAUGAGGGAAUUCCUGGUGUAGCGGUGAAAUGCGUAGAGAUCGUAAGGAAGACCAGUGGCGAAGGCGGGUCUCUGGACAGUUCCUGACACUGAGGCACGAAGGCCAGGGGAGCAAACGGGA